UAUGUAUAAUUUGAGGAUAAUAUUUGGUAAGAAGGAUAUAGAUAAAAUAAUUCCAUGUAUAGAUGUACAGAUUAUUAAUUUUCUGAGUUAGAAUAAAAUAAUUCACUUUUUGAGUACUAAAGAAUUGAAGACUAGGAAAAGCUUCAUUAGAAAAGGAGAGAAUGGAGAUGACACGGGAGCUGCUGCUCACAGGGAACUUGUUCUCGUUGCUGGCCCAGGAGAAUGACUGGUGGGUUUGCAAGCAAAUCAAGAAGCCCAUCGGCUCCACCAUCCUCACCCUAGGCUGGCACCCCAACAAUGUGCUGCUGGCUGCCGGCUCCUGCGACUUCAAGUGCCGAAUCUUUUCAGCCUACAUCAAGGAGGUGGAGGAGCAGCCGGCACCCACCCCAUGGGGCUCCAAGAUGCCCUUUGGGGAGCUGAUGUUUGAGUCCAGCAGUAGCUGCGACUGGGGACAUGACGUCUGCUUCUCAGCCAACCGGAGCCGCGUGGCCUGGGUGAGCCACGACUGCACCGUGUGCCUGGCUGAUGCCGAGAAGAAGGUGGCCGUCGCAACCCUGGCCUCUGAAACACUGCCGCUGCUGGCGCUGACCUUCAUCACAGAAAACAGCCUGGUGGCAGCGAGCCACGACUGCUUCCCGGUGCUGUUCACCUACGACGCCGCUGCCGGGACGCUGAGCUUCGGCAGGCGGCCAAGCUGAGCUCACAGUGCGGCUUGACUUCUAGCGAGCACUUCCAGAACCUUGACAAGAAGGCGAGCUCCGAGGGCAGCACGGCCGCGGGCUCCAGCCUGGACUCGCUGCACAAGAAUAGCGUCGCUGGGCGCGGUGGCUCACGCCUGUAAUCCCAGCACUUUGGGAGGCCGAAACGGGUGGAUCAUGAGGUCAAGAGAUCGAGACCAUCCUGGUCACCAUGGUGAAACCCCCUCUCUACUAAAAAUACAAAAAAUUAGCUGGGCAUGGUGGCGCAUGCCUGUAAUCCCAGCUACUCAGGAGGCUGAGGCAGGAGAAUUGCCUGAACCCAGGAGGCGGAGGUUGUGGUGAGCCGAGAUCGCGCCAUUGCACUCCAGCCUGGGUAACAAGAGCGAAACUCCAUCUCAAAAAAGAAAAUAAAAAAGAAUAGCGUCAGCCAGAUCUCGGUGCUCAGCGGGGCAAGGCCAAGUGCUCACAGUUCUGCACCACUGGCAUGGACGGUGGCAUGAGUAUCUGGGAUGUGAAGAGCUUGGAGUCAGCCUUAAAGGACCUCAAGAUCAAAUGACCUGUGUGGAAUGUCUUCAUCUCAGCUGCUGGGGAAGCGCGGCGAGGGGUCAGGGAGAUUAAUGAUUGCUUUGCUGAAUGUUUCUGGGGUACUGGUAUGAGUUCCCACAGGGGCUGCUCCCUCAAAAAGGGAGGGGACGGAUGGGGAGCUUUUCUUAGAUAUUCAAGGAAUAUGUGCCUUUUUCUUAAAGAAAUGCUUUCAUUUAUUGAAAAGAAAAAUGCUCCCAAAGCACUAUGCUGGUAAUGAACUGCUUCAAAAUGUGGAGGUAGUAAAAUGCAACUGUGUCAAAAAACAACAACAAAAAAACAACAAAAACAAACAAACAAAAAGGAAAGAAUGAAUAUGCAAGGUGGAGUGGGAAGGAGAAAUCUGAUGAAGUGGUAUUUUAGAACAUAAAUUAGGGUAAUAGAAUUAAAGUCUAAAAUAGAGUGGUAAGCCUCAAAGCAGAAAGUGGACUUUGUUUAUUUCUUGAGAUGAGAAGUUAAGUGUCAAGGAUAAUUGAAAAUACAGUAGUCUCCUUUAUUUUUGUGGUUCCACUUUUCAUGGUCUCAGUUACCAGCAUCAAGUACAGUAAAAUAUUUUGAGAGAGAGAGACCAUAGUCACACAACUUUUAUAACAAUAUAUUGUUGUAAUUGCUCUAUUUUAUGAUUAGGUACUAUUGUCAAUGUUACUCUGCCUAAUUUAGAAACUAAACUUUAUUAUGGAUAUGUAUACAUAGGAAAAAAUAUAUGUAGGGUUUGAUACUAUCCUUGAUUUCAGGCAUAUACUGGAGUUCUUGGAAUGUAUCCCUGUGGAUAAGAGGAGACUACUAUAAAUAGAUUUUAUAUCUCUAUAUAGAUAAUAUAUGUAAUAGAGCUUAUCCCAAACAUCUCAUGUUGCGGCUUUGCAUAAUGGAGUGAUUUAUAAAUCGAUGAAAGCUCACAUAACUUAAAACAAUAAUUUUAUCAGCUUGGCCUAAAAGGUACAAACAGUGUAUAAAAUGAAAAGAGGCCUUUGGACUCUCAGAUUUCUACAGGAGGGAAAUGACCAAUACAGCUCUUUAGCUGUAAGCAUGGGCUACUUUUUAUGGCAAAGGAAGGAUGACUCUGAGGACAGAACCAAGAGUCCACAGGGUAAAGUCAUGAAACCUACUAAACAACUCCAAGAGAGUGGGACUGAACCCUUAUCUAUGAACUUGCAACAUUUGCCCAUCUAAAUCUGAAUUGCUACAAACCUUUGAAUGCUGUCUUUCCUGUUUUUCUUUUUUUGAACAGUAGUGUUUAAAGCAUUUAUACUAUUCCUGUCUACCAUUAGUUUGUUGCAUAUAUGUGGGCAGAUAAUUUGCCUCUUUAGUUCAAGGUCUUUAGAUGGAAAUAAACACAUGCAAAGAGCUAUAAUAGAAGAAUCACCAAAACACAGUGUCAUCCUCAACUGAAUCAGAAUUAGAUAUCAGAGUCCUAGACUUUUAAUUAACACUUUAAUGAGUUGAAGUUGGGAGUCUUCAUGGGGUUGCUUGUAUUUUAUAUGUGGGAGAAAUGUGAAAUAUUGCCAGAGAGUGGUGGCAUAUUGUGUUUUCUAAAGAUUCUGUGUGUUCUUCACACAAUGCAAUGUUGACACUGCUUUCAUCAAGUAGCGAUGUCUGUUUCCAGUCCCGUGGGUGGACCUAUAGUACUACUCUGACUAAUAGUGUAUGGAAAAAGAGUUGCUAUGUGACUUCUUAGACUAGACCAUAACAAGUUCUUGUACUUAUGAAUAAUUCUCUCAGAAUGUCUAUUCUUAAACCUAGCCAACAUGCUGUACAGAAGCCCAGCAGCCAUGGAGAGGUCCAUGCAGAGAUGAACUGAGUCCCCAACUCCUCAAUCCUAGCUGAGCUCCCAGACAACAGCCAGUAUGGGCUUGCCAGCCAUAUUGAGUAUUUUGAAGUGGAUCCUCCACCUUCCAGUUAAGGUGCCCCAACUGAUGCCAUACGGAGCUGAGAUGAGCCUUUCCCACUUAGUCAUGCUCAAGUGCAAAUUUUUGAACAAAGUAAAUUAUUAUAGUUAUUUCAAGACCUUAGGUUUCUUGAGGUGGUUGUUUAUGCAGCAGUAGAUAACCAGAACCAAUUCUCAAAAGAGGAAGGAGACAAGUGAAGUCACUUGAAGUUUGUUCAAAGUCAAAAUACGGAAUGACUGGUGGGCAAAACAAGGUUGAAAUAUAUAGUCAUGCCUACAGUUGUAAUAGACAGGUUAAUAUCAAGCCCAGGUUUAGAAGGGCCAUUAGCAGUAAUACUGAACUAUCCAAGAAUAAUGUUUGAUAGAGUGGUAUAAUAAAAUAAUCCAUGUCCUGAAAUUAUCCAAGAAAAUGGGACAGUAGAUUAGAGCGGGAUAGAUAACAGCCACAAAGACAAAAAGAGCUUAAUUUAAAUACAUUACUGAUUAAAUAUAAAUAUUUUACAUUGGAAUAUAAAUUUUGUUUUCAAAACAUUUCACAUACAGUUUUAGAUUCUUAGAACUAGCUUUUCAGUUAACUGUUACUAUCCUUAUUGAUAAGGGAGAAAACUGAAGCUAAGGCAAUUAAAAAAAGAAAAACAGAAAAUAGUGUAAACAGGAAUAAAACUCAGACAGUUCAUUUGUUUGUUCAUUUAUUCAUUGUUUUGCUUUUUGAGCACAAACUAUGUGGCAGACAAUGUGCUUUGAAUACGUGAAUAAAUGAGUAAGACUCAAUCCUUCUCCUCAAAUAGCUUCUGUCUAGCAAGGGAGAAAAAUAGUCAUAGAUAAUUGUAAUGAAGUUUAACUAGUAGUUUUCCCUAUAUCACAAUUGCUUAAAAAAUUCUACAUAAAUUUCAUUGCUAAUGGUGGUGCAGAUGUUAAUAUAAACGUCUUCAAUAUAGAGAAAAGUUUACAAAGCAUUCAACAUGCAUAGUUUAUAGUAUAUUGGCAAGGCAGGAAGGUACACAGUGGCACUCUUUAUGAAAUCCAAAUACA